CGUGUAGGCUGCUUCAUAAGUCGGGUGUGAAAGCCCUGGGCUCAACCUAGGAAGUGCACUCGAAACUGCGAAGCUUGAGUCCUGGAGAGGAAGGCGGAAUUCUCGGUGUAGAGGUGAAAUUCGUAGAUAUCGAGAGGAACACCGGUGGCGAAGGCGGCCUUCUGGACAGUGACUGACGCUGAGACGCGAAAGCGUGGGGAGCAAACAGGAUUAGAUACCCUGGUAGUCCACGCCGUAAACGAUGGGUGCUAGGUGUCGCGGGCUUUGACCCCUGCGGUGCCGUAGCUAACGCAUUAAGCACCCCGCCUGGGGAGUACGGCCGCAAGGCUAAA
rnacentral:rRNA from 1 species